AGAAGUCAUGAGAUCUGUUUAUUUGUUCUGCAAAGGGGGUCAGAAGUCAGACAUUUGGAGCAAAACAGAGAUCCUAAUCUCCAAAGUGUACAUUUGAAGACCAUCCUCAAGUGCUGAUUACCCUGGACUUCAGGAGAGCUACCUUUGACCUCUUCAAGGACGUACCUGGAGAUAUCCCUUGGGCUAGAGCAUAGGAAAGAACGUGGGGAACUACUCCUGAAGGUUGAAAGAUGCUCAGCUAUGGCACUGCAGAGUGCUGCAGAGGCUUCUGGAAUAAUGUAAGGGAAUCAGAUGAAUGCCUAACUAAUCCUCUUCUUUGGAAAGGCUCGCAGAAGAAUGAGGCAAUGAAAAGAGGAUGUAAAAGAAUAUAAAAGCAGAUGCAACGAAUGUCUUUAAAGCAGCAACAUGGGUGGAUGGAAGCCAAAGGAAUGAGAAAUAGAAGGGAGAUGGAAACAGCUGUGAUUGGUUAAACUACAAAUUUCUGAGCUGGCUGAAGAGAGGAUGCUAUAGCCUUUAUAUUGGGUUUCAUGCUGUUUAAGUAAGAAAGUAAUCAGAUUGUAAGGUGGAGAUCGAGUGCAUGAAUAUGUUGAUGAAAAAAAAAAAGAAAAAAAAGAUUUGUCCUGGACAUAGAUGGCAUUUGAUUCUUGCUGAUCUUAUUGUAGGGCAAUACACCUCAUAAAGUGCCAAUACUUUAGGACAAGAAUGUGCUACACCUACCUUAUGCUGU
rnacentral:lncRNA from 1 species